UACGUAGGGUGCAAGCGUUGUCCGGAAUUAUUGGCGUAAAGAGCUCGUAGGCGGUCUGUCGCGUCGGCUGUGAAACUCGGGCUCAACCCCGAGCCUGCAGUCGAUACGGGCAGACUAGAGUGCGGUAGGGAGACUGGAAUUCCUGGUGUAGCGGUGAAAUGCGCAGAUAUCAGGAGGAACACCGGUGGCGAAGGCGGGUCUCUGGCCGUAACUGACGCUGAGGAGCGAAAGCGUGGGAGCGAACAGG
rnacentral:rRNA from 1 species